UACGUAGGCAGCAAGCGUUGUUCGGAAUUACUGGGCGUAAAGAGUGUGUAGGCGGUGCUCCAAGUCUGGUGUGAAAUCUCCCGGCUUAACUGGGAGGGUGCAUUAGAAACUGGAAUGCUAGAGGAUGGGAGAGGUAAGCGGAAUUCCUGGUGUAGCGGUGAAAUGCGUAGAUAUCAGGAGGAACACCGGUGGCGAAGGCGGCCCACUGGGCAGUCACUGACGCUGGAGGCGCGGAAAGCUCGGGGGAGCGAACGGG
rnacentral:rRNA from 1 species